AACAGCUCAAAUUUGAAAUCUGGCCUCCUCCGGGGCCCGAGUUGUAAUUUGUAGAGGAUGCUUCGGGUACGGCGGCGGUCUAAGUUCCUUGGAACAGGACGUCAUGGAGGGUGAGAAUCCCGUGUGGGACCGCCCGCCACGCCCAUGUGAAGCGCCUUCGACGAGUCGAGUUGUUUGGGAAUGCAGCUCAAAAUGGGUGGUAAAUUUCAUCUAAAGCUAAAUACCGGCCAGAGACCGAUAGCGCACAAGUAGAGUGAUCGAAAGAUGAAAAGCACUUUGGAAAGAGAGUUAAAAAGCAUGUGAAAUUGUUGAAAGGGAAGCGCUUGCAACCAGACUCGUCCCCGGGUGCUCACCCGGCGUUUUCGCCGGCGCACUCGCCCGGGAUCGGGCCAGCAUCGGUUCGGGCGGCCGGAUAUAGGUCCCUGGAAUGUGGCUCCCCUCGGGGAGUGUUAUAGCCAGGGGCGCAGUGCGGCCUGCCCGGACCGAGGAACGCGCUUCGGCACGGAUGCUGGCGUAAUGGUUGUAAGCGGCCGUCUUUGAAACACGGACCAAAGGAGUCCGAACAUCUGUGCCAGUGUUUGGGUGUCAAACCCACACGCGGAAUGAAAGUGAACGGAGGUGGGAGCCGCAAGGCGCACCAUCGACCGAUCCUGAUGUCUUCGGAUGGAUUUGAGUAAGAGCACAGCUGUUCCGACCCGAAAAAUGGUGAACUAUGCCUGAAUAGGGUGAAGCCAGAGGAAACUCUGGUGGAGGCUCGCAGCGGUUCUGACGUGCAAAUCGAUCGUCAAAUUUGGGUAUAGGGGCGAAAGACCAAUCGAACCAUUUAGUAGCUGGUUCCUGCCGAAGUUUCCCUCAGGAUAGCAGUAACGUUUUCAGUUUUAUGAGGUAAAGCGAAUGAUUAGAGGCCUUGGGGUUGAAACAACCUUAACCUAUUCUCAAACUUUAAAUAUGUAAGAAGUCCUUGUUACUUAGUUGAACGUGGACACUCGAAUGUAUCGUUACUAGUGGGCCAUUUUUGGUAAGCAGAACUGGCGAUGCGGGAUGAACCGAACGCGAGGUUAAGGUGCCGGAAUGCACGCUCAUCAGACACCACAAAAGGUGUUAGUUCAUCUAGACAGCCGGACGGUGGCCAUGGAAGUCGGAACCCGCUAAGGAUCGUGUAACAACUCACCGGCCGAAUGAACUAGCCCUGAAAAUGGAUGGCGCUCAAGCGUGCUACCCAUACCUCGCCGUCG
rnacentral:rRNA from 1 species